CUUAAGCAUAUCAAUAAGCGGAGGAAAAGAAACCAACAGGGAUUGCCCUAGUAACGGCGAGUGAAGCGGCAACAGCUCAAAUUUGAAAUCUGGCGCAAGCCCGAGUUGUAAUUUGUAGAGGAUGCUUCUAGGUAGCGACCGGUCUAAGUUUCUUGGAACAGGACGUCAUAGAGGGUGAGAAUCCCGUAUGUGACCGGCCCGCACCUUCUACGUAGCUCCUUCGACGAGUCGAGUUGUUUGGGAAUGCAGCUCUAAAUGGGAGGUAAAUUUCUUCUAAAGCUAAAUACCGGCCAGAGACCGAUAGCGCACAAGUAGAGUGAUCGAAAGAUGAAAAGCACUUUGGAAAGAGAGUUAAAAAGCACGUGAAAUUGUUGAAAGGGAAGCGCUUACAACCAGACUUCUGGGCGGUGUUCCGCCGGUCUUCUGACCGGUCUACUCGCCGUCCCGAGGCCAACAUCAUCUGGGACCGCUGGAUAAGACCUUAGGAAUGUAGCUUCCCUCGGGAAGUGUUAUAGCCUCUGGUGAUGCAGCGCGUCUCGGGUGAGGUCCGCGCUUCGGCAAGGAUGUUGGCGUAAUGGUUGUCAGCGGCCCGUCUUGAAACACGGACCAAGGAGUCUAACAUCUAUGCGAGUGUUCGGGUGUCAAACCCCUACGCGUAAUGAAAGUGAACGGAGGUGGGAAGGGUAACCUGCACCAUCGACCGAUCCUGAUGUCCUCGGAUGGAUUUGAGUAAGAGCAUAGCUGUUGGGACCCGAAAGAUGGUGAACUAUGCCUGAAUAGGGUGAAGCCAGAGGAAACUCUGGUGGAGGCUCGCAGCGGUUCUGACGUGCAAAUCGAUCGUCAAAUUUGGGUAUAGGGGCGAAAGACUAAUCGAACCAU
rnacentral:rRNA from 1 species